CCGGACCCAAUGCGGUGCCUUUCGCCCUCCUGCCUCCUAUGGACACUCCUCCCAUUUCCUUUCUCUGCUGCCCUUCUUCCCUUCCCCAUCACCCAAUCUGUACCUAUAGACACUCCUCACUCCCAUUUCCUCUUUCCUGCUCCUUUUCUUCCUUCCCCAUCACCCCAAUUUGUACCUAUAGACUCCUCACUCCCAUUUCCUAUUUCUGCUGCUUCUCUUCCUUCCUCAUCACCCCAAUUUGUACCUAUAGACUCCGCGCUCCUAUUUUCUACCUCUCCUGCUCCCUUUCUUCCCUUCCCCAUCACCCAAUCUGUACCUAUGGACUCUCCUCAGUUCUAUUUCCUCUUUCCUGCUGCUUUUCUUCCUUCCUCAUCACCCCAAUCUGUGCCUAUAGACACUCCUCGCUCCCAUUUCCUCUUUCUGCUUCUCACCUUCCCUUCCCCAUCACCCAAUCUGUACCUAUAGACUCCUCACUCCUAUUUCCUCUUUCCUGCUCCUUUUCAUCCUUCCCCAUCACCCAAUCUGUACCUAUGGACACUCCUCGCUCCCAUUUCCUCUUUCCUGCUCCUUUUCUCCCUUCCCCAUCACCCAAUCUGUACCUCUAGAGACUCCUUGCUCCUAUUUCCUAUUCUUCCUGCUGCCCUUUUCCCCUUCCCCAUCACCCAAUCUGUACCUAUAGACACUCCUCGCACCCAUUUCCUAUCUUUUCUCCUUCUCACCUUCCCUUCCCCAUCACCCAAUCUGUACCUAUGGACACUCCUCGCUCCCAUUUCCUCUUUCCUGCUCCUUUUCUCCCUUCCCCAUCACCCAAUCUGUACCUCUAGAGACUCCUCGCUCCUAUUUCCUAUCAUUCCUGCUUCACAUCUUCCCUUCCCCAUCACCCCAAUCUGUACCUAUAGACUCCUCGAUCCUAUUUCCUAUUUCUGCUGCCCUUCUUCCCUUCCCCAUCACCCAAUCUGUACCUAUAGACUCCUCGAUCCUAUUUCCUAUUUCUGCUGCCCUUCUUCCCUUCCCCAUCACCCAAUCUGUACCUAUAGACUCCUCGAUCCUAUUUCCUAUUUCUGCUGCCCUUCUUCCCUUCCCCAUCACCCAAUCUGUACCUAUAGACUCCUCGAUCCUAUUUCCUAUCUUUCCUGCUGCCCUUCUUCCCUUCCCCAUCACCCAAUCUGUACCUAUGGACACUCCUCAGUUCUAUUUCCUCUUUCCUGCUGCUUUUCUUCCUUCCCCAUCACCCAAUCUGUACCUAUAGUGACUCCUCGCUCCCAUUUCCUCUUUCCUGCUGCCCUUCUUCCCUUCCCCAUCACCCAAUCUGUACCUAUGGACACUCCUCGCUCCUAUUUCCUUUUUCCUGCUCCUUUUCUUCCUUCCCCAUCACCCCAAUCUGUACCUAUGGACACUCCUCGCUCCCAUUUCCUAUCUUUUCUCCUUCUCAUCUUCCCUUCCCCAUCACCCCAAUCUGUACCUAUAGACUCCUCAAUCCUAUUUCCUAUCUUUCCUGCUUCUUACCUUUCCUUCCCCAUCACCCAAUCUGUGCCUAUGGACACUCCUCGCUCCCAUUUCCUCUUUCUGCUUCUCACCUUCCCUUCCCCAUCACCCAAUCUGUACCUAUGGAGACUCCCCGCUCCUAUUUCCUCUUUCCUGCUCCCUUUCUUCCCUUCCCCAUCACCCAACCCGUAAUGCUGUCCGUCCUCCCCCUCCCCAUCUCCCUCAUUGACAUUCGUACUGAACCGCUCCCACCAACGUCUGAGCCGUUGUUCCUUCAUCUCACUCCGGGUAGACAUUAUCAAAGAGGAGGCAGUAGUGGCGUUGGGGGGCGGUCGCAGAAGGAGAUGAGCAGUUCCCCAUCAGGGAGCCCCGAACCCGGCAGGAACCUGCAGGGGAAUCGAAUGCCCCCGUGGGAAUCCAAUGUUGUUUCUGCGUCAGAACAAGGGAAGAAUUGGGUCCAUUUCGUGGCCUCUGCCGCCGUUUGGGUCCGUUACUACCACUCGUAGCCCUUUUCAGGGGCCGUUCCACU
rnacentral:lncRNA from 7 species